rnacentral:rRNA from 1 species
UGGGGAAUCUUGCACAAUGGGCGAAAGCCUGAUGCAGCGACGCCGCGUGCGGGAUGAAGGCCUUCGGGUUGUAAACCGCUUUCAGCAGGGACGAGGCCGCAAGGUGACGGUACCUGCAGAAGAAGCCCCGGCUAACUACGUGCCAGCAGCCGCGGUAAUACGUAGGGGGCAAGCGUUAUCCGGAUUCAUUGGGCGUAAAGCGCGCGUAGGCGGUCUGUUAGGUCAGGAGUCAAAUCUGGGGGCUCAACCCCUAUCCGCUCCUGAUACCGGCAGGCUUGAGUCUGGUAUGGGAAGGUGGAAUUCCAAGUGUAGCGGUGAAAUGCGCAGAUAUUUGGAAGAACACCAGUGGCGAAGGCGGCCUUCUGGGCCAUGACUGACGCUGAGGCGCGAAAGCUAGGGGAGCGAACAGG